rnacentral:piRNA from 1 species
UGCACCUUGAGGGGAACUAGA